rnacentral:rRNA from 1 species
UACGAAGGGGGGCUAGCGUUGUUCGGAUUUACUGGGCGUAAAGCGCACGUAGGCGGAUCUUUAAGUCAGAGGUGAAAUCCCAAGGCUCAACCUUGGAACUGCCUUUGAUACUGGGGAUCUUGAGUCCGGGAGAGGUGAGUGGAACUGCGAGUGUAGAGGUGAAAUUCGUAGAUAUUCGCAAGAACACCAGUGGCGAAGGCGGCUCACUGGCCCGGUACUGACGCUGAGGUGCGAAAGCGUGGGGAGCAAACAGGG